AUACGUAGGUGGCAAGCGUUGUCCGGAUUUACUGGGGGUAAAGGGCGUGUAGGCGGAGAUGCAAGUCCGGAGUGAAAUCUAGGGGCUCAACCCCUCAACUGCUUUUGAAACUGUAUCCCUUGAGUCUCGGAGAGGCAGGGGGGAUUCCUUGUGUAUGGGUGAAAUGCGUAGAUAUUAGGAGGAACACCAGUGGCGAAGGCGGCCUGCUGGACGACAACUGACGCUGAGGCGCGAAAGCGUGGGGAGCAAACAGGAUUAGAUACCCUGGUAGUCCACGCUGUAAACGAUGAAUACUAGGUGUGGGGGGACUGACCCCCUCCGUGCCGCAGUUAACACAAUAAGUAUUCCACCUGGGGAGUACGAUCGCAAGAUUGAAACUCAAAUGAAUUGACGGGG
rnacentral:rRNA from 1 species